ACCAAAUCUUCUCCGAGAAAACAACAAAGAUGAAUUCCUCCAUUGUUUUUUUGGCUCUUGCCAUGUGUGUUGCCUUCGUCGCAGCUGAAACCUACGACUACACCAAUGAAAAUGGUGACGAUUGUGUCUGCAGCAUCUCUUUACCAGCUCCUGGUUGUGAUACUGAUGUCCUCCCUUCCGAAGAAAUCGCUAGCCAUGAAGGUGUACCAGGAGUUCGCAAAGGUUUCUCUACCCAUCAUGCAUCGUUCUAUGUUGGUUCCCGCCACCGUAAAGGAAACAUUCGUAGUGUAACCUACCCAAGAUACUUGUAAUCAAAACAGCAUCUACAGAAUAAAUUAAUAAAUUUUAGUCGGAAUUA